ensembl:lncRNA ADAM3A ADAM metallopeptidase domain 3A (pseudogene)
ACAACGGCCAUCCCUGUGGCUGGGCCGCCGGCUACGCAAUGCUGUCUCUCUUGCUGAUCCUCUCAGGCCUGGGCCGGCUGACCUCCGCGGGCCCACGCCACUUAUUCCAUCAAAAUUGAGGGGAAACCAUACACUUCCUGCUUGAAAAACAGUCAUUUUUACACCCACAUUUCCUGGUGUAUUUAUACAACAAAUCAGGAACAUUGUAUGCAGAUUCUUCAUUUUCAAAGGGUCAUUGCUUUUACCAAGGAUAUGCUGCAGACAUUCCAAAAUCAGUUGUGGCACUACGCACCUGUUCUGGACUCAGAGGAUUACUGCAGUUAGAUAAUAUCAGUUAUGGUAUUGAACCAUUGGAAUCUUCACCUACAUAUAAGCAUGUAGUUUAUCGAAUUAAAAAUGAUGCUAUUGGUCAUUCCUCCUUUCAAGAAAAUUAUCCUGUGGCUCAAUAUAUAGAUCAGUCCUACAGGAUUCUUGUCAAAUCAGACAUAAAUUCAGGUGCCAUGCUAUCGAAAAGAACUCUGAAAAUACAAAUCAUUAUGGAUAAAGCCAUGUAUGCUUAUAUGGGCUCCACGGUGGCAGUUGCAGUUGAGAAAGUUUUCCAAAUCUUUGGUCUUAUCAACACUAUGUUUUCCCAGCUUAAUAUGACAGUUAUGCUGUCUUCCUUGGAGAUCUGGUCAGAUCAAAAUAAGAUUUCAACAAGUGGUCAUGCUGAUGAAAUACUACAGCGAUUUUUGCCUUGGAAACAAAAAUUUUUGUUUCAAAGGUCUCAUGAUAUGACAUACUUAUUAAUUUAUAGGAACCAUUCUACUUAUGUGGGAGCAACAUAUCACGGAAUGGCAUGCGAUCCAAAGUUUGCAACAGGAAUUGCUCUGUAUCCAAAGAAAAUCACUGCAGAGGCCUUUUCAGUUGUUAUGGCACAGUUGCUUGGAAUUAAUCUGGGAUUGACAUAUGAUGAUAUCUACAAUUGUUACUGUCCAGGAACUACAUGCAUAAUGAAUCCUGAUGCGAUAUGAUCCCAUGGUAUGAAGUUUUUUAGCAGUUGCAGCAUGGAUGGAUUUAAACGGAUAGUUCUGCAGCCUGAACUUAAAUGUUUUCAGGAUAAAACAGUUUCAAAAAUGACUUACCGAAAAUCUUCAACUUGUGGCAAUGGAAUUUUGGAACCUACAGAGCAGUGUGAUUGUGGCUAUAAAGAGGCAUGCACUCAUAAAAAAUGCUGUAAUCCUGCAGAUUGUACUCUAGUUAGAUCUGCAGAAUGUGGCACUGGAUCAUGCUGUAACAAUAAAACUUGUACGAUCCACGAAAGAGGCCAUGUCUGCAGAAAAAGUGUAGAUAUGUGUGAUUUUCCAGAAUAUUGCAAUGGAACAUCUGAGUUUUGUGUACCUGAUGUGAAAGCUGCUGAUUUAGAAUACUGCAGUAAUAAGACUAGCUAUUGCUUUAAAGGAGUAUGCAGAGAAAGGGAUAGACAGUGUUCACAGUUAUUUGGAAAAUUUGCUAAGUCUGCUAAUCUUCUGUGUACAGAAGAAGUGAAUUUUCAAAAUGACAAAUUUGGAAACUGUGGUUCCCGUUGUGAUUUUUUUGAUAUCCUUUGUGGAAAGAUUGUUUGUCACUGGAUACAUUCAGAACUAGUACCAAUGACAGACUUAGACAUACAAUAUACUUACCUUAGAGGUCACGUAUGUUUGUCCGCACAUGCAAGAAAUGGUUCAAAACAAUCGGAGACCUAUACAGAAGAUAUAACUGCAUGUGGCCAACACAAGGUAUGUCACUCCCGAGAAUGCAGAAAUUUUAGUGAACUAAAUAUAACAAAAUAUACUACAAAUUGUGGACAGAAUGGGAUUUGCAAUGAACAUUUCCAUUGUCAAUGUGAUCCUGGUUAUGCUCCUCCAGAUUGUGAGCCAGCAAUGUCAUCACCAGGAGGAAGUAUCAAUGAUGGAUUUUGGCUUACAGUAGAAAAAAGUGUACCCUUGCUUCCAAAACGACGUGCUGCUCCUAAAAACAAUGGUCUUUUGAUCAGUUUCUACAUUUUUUCACCUUUGCUCAUUUUAAUUGCUAUUGUUAGUCUUAAAUGGAAUAAAAUGAAGAGAUUUCGGAGCAAAGUGGGAACAGUAAGCAGCAGAUCUAUCUCAGAAGACAGCGGUAGUAACAGCAGCCAGUCACAGAGUUAAAGUAACCAAGUGAUAAAAUCAAAGCCAUCGGAUGAAGAAAGGAUAUUACCAAGAAACUCACCAUUAACUUAAAACUUUCAACUUCACAGAAAAAAAUAAAUCAUAUGACUAAAAGCAUA